CGCACAUUGCGCCCGCCAGUAUUCUGGCGGGCAUGCCUGUUCGAGCGUCAUUUCAACCCUUAAGCCUCUGUCGCUUAGCGUUGGGAGACUGCUAGGAUGUCCUUGCAGCUCCCUAAAUUCAGUGGCGGAGUAGGUCUUCACCCCAGACGUAGUAGCUAUUACAUCGCCUGUGGUAUAGGCUCUCUCUUGCCGUAAAAAUGCCCUAAAAAGCACUAUAGGUUGACCUCGGAUCAGGUAGGAAUACCCGCUGAACUUAA
rnacentral:misc_RNA from 1 species